GUCCUUGCCGUAAACGAUGUAUACUUGAUGGAGUUGGGCUCAACCCUGACUGUGUCGAAGCUAACGCGAUAAGUAUACCGCCUGGGGAGUACGCUCGCAAGGGUGAAACUCAAAAGAAUUGACGGGGGCCCGCACAAGCAGUGGAGCAUGUGGUUUAAUUCGAUGCAACGCGAAGAACCUUACCCAGGCUCGAAAUGUAAUGGACGAUAUCAGAGAUGGUAUUUCCGCAAGGACUAUUAUAUAGGUGCUGCAUGGCUGUCGU
rnacentral:rRNA from 1 species